UUACGUCAUCAACAAUGCCAACUAUAAACAAACUCGGCAUUGUUGUGGAACACAACAAUGCCGAGUACAACACAACAAUGCCGAGUAAACAAAUAACGCUUCACUACCGAGCCAGUCGCAUUAUCACUGCUCCAGAAGAAGCGCGUGGAAUCGCAUUAUUGACAAUUUUCUGACAGUUGGCCUAAAACAUCAGAAAAGUGAAAGAAGACGUUAUCAACUAUUUGAAGUAUCAACUCUAACAACUGCAACAAGGGCGCUUUCCGUAAAUGGCCUGAAGUAACCCAUUCAUUCACAUGAACGAUGAGUGCCUUGAAACACCGCAGAGAAUCCUUGGCCACAAAGCUACAUUCUGAGACAAGGUCAGCAACUUAGAUGACAAAGCUACGUAUUGCCCGCGAGAAGUUUGUUUCUCCACGAAGAAUUCCAGUGAUUUCUGGACGAAUCCCUUAUUCCCUAUGCGAGGAGCCAACAUAUGAACCGUGACAAAGCAGUGAUUAGCAGCUGCCAUAUCAGAAUAAUAAAUGUGAUAAGCUUUCGACAUUAGAAGUAAUAUUUUACGUCAAUAUUUUGAACAGUUUAUAUAUGAAUAUUGUGCACAUUCUCUGGUUUAACAAAGGAAACUCCACAAACAUCACUUUUAUUUGGAAUGAAGGUGAGAACAGAAUUGGAAUGGCGAAGGACGUGAUGGUGUAAUAACGGUGAUAAACUUGUAAAUAACAUAACGAAGAGGGAUUUAUGAACCGCUGAAUAAUUCCCAACAGAAUAAGGACGACUGUGUACAGCGGAGUUGGCUGGAUAGAGAUGCCUAGUAAUACAAGGAGAGCUCUGUGGUGAAUGUACAGGACAACUGAACCAGAACAUUUGAAUGAAAGUCAAAGGAAAGCUAGCGCAAGGCGAACACCCAGUUGAGGAACUGAAGUCAAUGAGGAUAAUACUUAACAGCGACGAAAGCGCACACAAUGUCCACUCUCUCCUGAAAAUCUUAUUAAAAAAAGACAAUAAUUACUUCCAACUGAAUCUUUUGUACUUUCUUGUUUAACUAAUAAACUAAAAUCCUGGUAUCUUAUUUAAUCCA